AUUGAACGCUGGCGGCAGGCCUAACACAUGCAAGUCGAGCGAGCGGCGGACGGGUGAGUAAUGUAUGGGGACUGCCCGAUAGAGGGGGAUAACUACUGGAAACGGUGGCUAAUACCCCAUACUGUCGGAUAACCCAUAUGGGAUUAGCUAGUAGGUAAGGUAAUGGCUUACCUAGGCGACGAUCCCUAGCUGGUCUGAGAGGAUGAUCAGCCAAACUGGGACUGCACCACGGCCCAGACUCCUACGGAGGCGGCAGUGGGAAAUAUCGCACAAUGGGCGCAAGCCUGAUGCAGCCAUGCCGCGUGUAUGAAAAAGGCCCUAGGGUUGUAAAGUACUUUCAGUCGGGAGGCGUUACCGACCGAAGAAGCACCGGCUAACUCCGUGCCAGCAGCCGCGGUAAUUC
rnacentral:rRNA from 1 species